UACGUAGGCAGCGAGCGUUGUUCGGAGUUACUGGGCGUAAAGCGUGCGUAGGCGGUUGUCUAAGUCUGGUGUGAAAUCUCCCGGCUCAACUGGGAGGGUGCGCCGGAAACUGGAUGACUGGAGUGCCGGAGAGGUAAGCGGAAUUCCUGGUGUAGCGGUGAAAUGCGUAGAGAUCAGGAGGAACACCUGUGGUGUAGACAGUUUACUGGACGGUGACUGACGCUGAGGCACGAAAGCGUGGGUAGCAAACAGG
rnacentral:rRNA from 1 species